UACUUUUUAAGUUUGCAAAGUUUGAUCUGAACUACACUGUAAGCUCAGUGCAGAAACCAUUGCUCUGUCAGUCACAUUUGUAUCAGAGGUUCCAUAGAGACCCCACAUGGCAGUUAGCAGCUAGGUCCUCUCUAGAACCAAGGGGGUGGAGGUAUGUCUGUUUAGAAGGUGGGCUAUAGAAUAUAAUAUACAUGGAAAUCCUGAGAUUGAAUAAAGUCAUAAUCUGAGUCUUGGAGUGCCACAUGACCUUGGGCAAGUCAUCUUAACAUCCCUGAUUUCAGUUCCCAUCUCUAAACCAGGAUUCUCAAUCUAUUCAGAACUAAUUUAAUGAUUCAGUAGUGUUUGUCACCUACUGAGGGUGGGAAUAUAUUUAAGGUGUCUCCUAUUAUAGACACCAGCUACAUACAGAUAUCAAACAUUUCAAAUGUCUCUGGUUUGUCAAAGGAGCUGAAAUUUUAACUUUUAAUUAUAUUUCCUUUUAAUUAAUUUUCCAUCUCAAUUUCAGCAUCCAAUUAAGACAGUACAAGUCUAGUCUAAUGUCCUGUUUUACAGAUUAGACAACCAUGGUUUAAGAAACAAAGAUGUCUGUCAAGGCCCCAUGGCUGCUCUCCAGAAACAGGAUAUGACACAGCAAGAAUCCUCCAUGGUGGAAAGGAGUCACACCUUGUUACCUUUGAUCCUGAAGACUCAUUCCAGGCUAUAGAGCAAUAUGGACCAGUGUGGAAGUCACAGGAACUGCCUACUGAGUUGCUGCUAACCCACCCCUUCAAUCUGCUGAAGCUCCCGGUGGUACGGGCUUUGCCAACAAGGAAUUCUCAGUGAGAAAAGUCAACUUUCUUCAGAGUGUCAAUUACAUACUUGCCAAUAGAAUUCACUUCCAGUUUUUAGCCUAUUCAUAACUUAUGGUUUGUGGUGAAUACAGAAAAAAGAUGUUGCAUAUGACUUUUGCAGUCAUGUGGGUACUUUAAGGAGGUAGGGGGCUGUAUCAUAAUGACAAGCUUGCCUCUUGG
rnacentral:lncRNA from 1 species